UACAGAGGGUGCAAGCGUUAAUCGGAAUUACUGGGCGUAAAGCGUGCGUAGACGGUUACAUAAGUCAGAUGUGAAAGCCCCGGGCUCAACCUGGGAAUUGCAUUUGAGACUGCGUAGCUAGGGUGCGGAAGAGGGAAGCGGAAUUUCCGGUGUAGCGGUGAAAUGCGUAGAUAUCGGGAGGAACAUCAGUGGCGAAGGCGGCUACCUGGCCCAAUACUGACACUCAGGUGCGACGAGCGUGGGGAGCAAACAGG
rnacentral:rRNA from 1 species